rnacentral:rRNA from 1 species
ACUCCUACGGGAGGCAGCAGUGGGGAAUAUUGCACAAUGGGCGCAAGCCUGAUGCAGCCAUGCCGCGUGUAUGAAGAAGGCCUUCGGGUUGUAAAGUACUUUCAGCGGGGAGGAAGGCAAUACGGUUAAUAACCGUGUUGAUCGACGUUACCCGCAGAAGAAGCACCGGCUAACUCCGUGCCAGCAGCCGCGGUAAUACGGAGGGUGCAAGCGUUAAUCGGAAUUACUGGGCGUAAAGCGCACGCAGGCGGUCUGUCAAGUCGGAUGUGAAAUCCCCGGGCUCAACCUGGGAACUGCAUUCGAAACUGGCAGGCUUGAGUCUUGUAGAGGGGGGUAGAAUUCCAGGUGUAGCGGUGAAAUGCGUAGAGAUCUGGAGGAAUACCGGUGGCGAAGGCGGCCCCCUGGACAAAGACUGACGCUCAGGUGCGAAAGCGUGGGGAGCAAACAGGAUUAGAAACCCGAGUAGUCCC